rnacentral:rRNA from 1 species
AAUGAACGCUGGCGGCAUGCCUUACACAUGCAAGUCGAACGGCAGCAUGACCUAGCUUGCUAGGUUGAUGGCGAGUGGCGAACGGGUGAGUAAUGCAUCGGAACGUGCCUUUUAGUGGGGGAUAACGUAGCGAAAGUUACGCUAAUACCGCAUAUUCUCUGAGGAGGAAAGCAGGGGGCCUUCGGGCCUUGCGCUAGAAGAGCGGCCGAUGUCGGAUUAGCUAGUUGGUGAGGUAAAGGCUCACCAAGGCAACGACCCGUAGCGGGUCUGAGAGGAUGAUCCGCCACACUGGGACUGAGACACGGCCCAGACUCCUACGGGAGGCAGCAGUGGGGAAUUUUGGACAAUGGGCGCAAGCCUGAUCCAGCCAUGCCGCGUGAGUGAAGAAGGCCUUCGGGUUGUAAAGCUCUUUCGGCUGGGAAGAAAUCGCACUCUCUAAUACAGGGUGUGGAUGACGGUACCAGCAUAAGAAGCACCGGCUAACUACGUG